rnacentral:rRNA from 1 species
UACGUAGGGUGCAAGCGUUGUUCGGAAUCAUUGGGCGUAAAGCGCGUGUAGGCGGUUAGUUAAGUCCUGUGUGAAAUCCCUGGGCUCAACCGAGGAAGUGCAUGGGAAACUAACUAGCUGGAAGAUGGUAGAGGAAGGUGGAAUUCCUAGUGUAGAGGUGAAAUUCGUAGAUAUCGUGAGGAACACCAGAGGCGAAGGCGGUUACCUGGACAGUUACUGACGCUCAGGCACGAAAGCAUGGGGAGCAAAAGGG